rnacentral:misc_RNA from 1 species
AAGUCGUAACAAGGUUUCCGUAGGUGAACCUGCGGAAGGAUCAUUUCCAAACCAAAACAAAAGAAAAAGAAUUGUGCAUGCCAAGUCCUUUUGAAAAAGAGGAGAGAGAGGCGUUCAUGAUUCUUUUUCUUUUUAAACACAAACACCAUUGAUAUUCUAAAGACUUGUUUGCUCAAGUCUGUCUAACAUUUCUAAAAAAAUUAUACAAAAAAACAACUUUUAACAACGGAUCUCUUGGCUCUC